rnacentral:lncRNA from 1 species
ACAGCGAUGACCACAAUGGCAGUGAUGAGAACAACCACAACAACCAUAACAACAAGAACAAGAACAACAACAGCGACAACAACGACAACAACGACAACAACAACAACAACAACAACAACAACAAUAACAACGACAAUGAAUAGAACAACGAAGACGACGGACGAUGACAAUGACGAGGAUGAGGAUGACGACGACUUCGAAGACGACAUCAACAACAACAACAACAACAACAACAACAACAACAACAACAACAANN